CCCUUAGAUGUUCUGGGCCGCACGCGCGCUACACUGACACGUUCAUCAAGUCUAUAACCUUGACCGAGAGGUCUGGGUAAUCUUUUAAAAACGUGUCGUGCUGGGGAUAGAUUAUUGCAAUUAUUAAUCUUCAACGAGGAAUUCCUAGUAAACGCAAGUCAUCAACUUGCAUUGAUUACGUCCCUGCCCUUUGUACACACCGCCCGUCGCUACUACCGAUUGAACGGUUUAGUGAGGGCCUCGGAUUGGUCUCGGCCCGCUCUUUACCGGGCGGCGCCGUUGGUCGAGAAGACGCUCGAACUUGAUCGUUUAGAGGAAGUAAAAGUCGUAACA
rnacentral:rRNA from 1 species